GUUUGCCGCCUUCCUAGUUAUUAACAGCAUUUGAUGGUUGCUGUCGAUCUACUACAUCGUGGUGGUUUAUUCGUUCAUUCGUUCAUCGAAGCCCUUCGUGAAGAUCCAUCGGGAACGAGUGCAGGAUUUUCUCGCCCUCUUACAGGAGGUGUUCAAGCUUAGAUGGCUGCAAUGGGAUUCCCUCCAUACGCGCAUAUACGCAGUAUCCCAGAAGGGCAGAGUAAACUCAACAAAGCAAAAAUGUGACUGACCUAAGUGAUUACUGAGCUCAAAUGUAGAGAUUUUUCGGAUUGGUAGAGAGUAAAACCAAGGUACCAGUCAUCAUCUUUCCCCUGUGGGGAGGGGUUGUGUCAAAAUGAUACUUACCUGAUUAAGGUUAACCCCAUCGAGACCCACGGUAAACCAUGUGAUCCCCCAUUUGGCUCUGUAGUAUUCUAAUGAAAUCCCCUCACUGGCAGUCAAUUUUCUAUGCCCCUUCCCCCAUUAGACUCUGUUGGCGAAGAGCGAUCCUCCCUCAGUUCUCCCCUAAAAGGAGGGUCUCUAUCAUGUCAAUGGGGUGAUCGAUGGUAUUUACGGCCAACGGUUAAAAUUUUGGCCAAUUUAAGGCUAACGGUUGAUAAUUUUCCAUUGUGGUCACCAGACAAAAUUUUUACGGUUAAGUUUUUUAUGACGACCGAUUAAAAGUUGUCAGUUUUACGUCUAAUCUACCGGUUAACCGCAUUGAAACCCUCUAAAAA